ensembl:lncRNA
GUUUGAAACUUUCAUGUUUUAAAGUUGUUGUUUUUUUUUUCAUUUAAAAUUAUAAAACUUACUCUGAUAAGUAAAUUUUACAAUCUUCAGUGAUCCAUUGAGUUGGGACUGUCUAGAUUCCAGAAGAGUACUGAUAGCACCUAGGACCAAAUUUUCAUUGGGCACUGACGACAAGGAUGAGAAUACCAAUAUGGUUGUGACUGUUGCUGCACCAGUCACAUUUGUUGACAAUGUUUUGGGUAUGUUUGAAGUUUCUGGUUGCAAACUUGAAGUACUUUGAAGUGUUGCAGAUGCAUCUGCUUUUGUUGCAUUGUUUAGAGGUGUAGUAUUGCUAGAAAGAGUUUCAGCUGGUGUUGUUUUGAUUGAUGAUUGACUUGGAAUUGUAGAUGCUGGGGAUGUUGAUGCAUUUGUGUUUGAAACUGAUGUUAUUGGAGCUAUUGGAAAUUCUGCUGCACUGGUGAGACCUGUAUUAAUUCCAGUUGUAGUUGUUGAUGCAGUUGUAGUUUCUGAAUCCAUGUUUGGGAUUGGAGUUGUUUUGGUUGAAAGUGCAAGUGUGGCUGGAGCAGAAGAUGUGUUGGUAAAAGCUACAGUUGUUCUUAAAAGAUCUCCUGUUGUUACUUGAAAUGCAGUUGUUGUUUGAGCUGCAGUUGAACUUGGAAUAGUGGCUGUUGUUGUGGUUGGAGCUGUAGUUGAGAUAUCAGCUGGAACUGUAGUGGUGGGAAGAACAGUCAUGGUUGUAAUGGGUGUAGUUGGGGUUCUUGGAGGUUCAGUUGUUUUUAUUGGAGUUAAAGUUGGGGAUAUAGUUACAUGUGAUGAUGAGAUAGGCAUAAUUGUUACAGCAAUAGUUACAGUCUCCGGAGACACAGUUGUGAUAAUUGGAGGUGCAUUUGUUGUGGUAAGGAGUCCUGCUUGGCUUAGAGCUGGAGCUGUAUUAGUGAAAGCAAUAGUUGUGGUUGAUAGAGGUGCAGUUGUUAUUCGGAAUGCAGUUGUUGUUGCCGCUGUAGGUGUGUUUGUGCCUGGAAUUGAAGUUGAGGUUUGAGAUGGAUUUUCUGUUGUGGGAUAGUUAUUCGUAGAAGAGGAAGCUGUAAUGGUGGAUGUUGCAGGUGCAGGAGUACUUUCUGAAGUUGUAGACAUUGUUGGUGAAGUAAGAGUUGAGGUUUCAGUAGUUGUGGCUGGGGUUAAACUUGAUGUAGUAGUUGAAUAUUCCAUCAUGGUUGUGGAAUCUGUGGUUACAGCAGGUGAAGUUAUACUUUCUGAAUUUGUGUUCGGACCUUUUGAUGUUGUACUUGCAGCCUUAGGUGUGGUUUGAUCUGAUGUAGAAGUGGAAGGAAUGGUUGUGGUGAUGGAAGCUGUAGUUGUGGUUGUUGCAAGAGAAGCUGCUGUUGUCGUUGAAGCUACAGUGGUAGUUGUGGACGUUGUAGUUAUCGAUGUUGUUGGUGCAGUUGUGGUUUCUGAAGUCAUUUUGGUGAUUGUGAGUGUUUCAGUAGUUGCAGGUGCAAGUGGCAUUGUGGUUUGAGCUGUUGUUGCACUUGGAGCUUCAGAUGACAUUGGAGCUGAUGUCAUAGAGGAAGGUACAUUUAUAGAUGAGGAAGCUGUAGUUACUGAUGUUGUUACAGGUGCAGAUGUUUCUGAAGAUGUAGCCAUUGUUGUUGAAAUUACAGCUGUUGAUGUUGUUGGAUAAUUAGUUGCUGUACCUCGAGAUUCAGAUGAGGUUGGAGAUGAUGAUGUAGUAGUAGAAUGCACUAUCGCAGCUGAGGAAGCUGUAGAUGUUGAAGAUGCAGUUGUAAUUUCGGAAGCUGUAGUCACAGUAGUGGAUGGCCCCACUGUGGCUGUGGAAGCUGCAGUUGUGCUUGCUGCAGGUGUAGUUGUACUUUCUGAUGUUGUAGGCAUUGUUGUAGACGUAAGAGUUGUUGCUCCUGAAGUCACAACAGUGGAUGUGAGAGCUCCAGUAGAUGUGGUUGCAAGCAGCAAUGUGGUUUUAGAUGUUGUUGUACUUGGAGCUUCAGAUGACAUUGGAGCUGAUGUCAUAGAGGAAGGUACAGUUGUAGGUGAGGAAGCUGUAGUUACUGAUGUUGUUACAGGUGCAGUUGUUUCUGAAGAUGUAGGCACUGUUGUUGAAGUGAGAGUUGAGGAUUCUGAAGUUACAGCUGUUGAUGUUGUUGGAGUGUUCUUUGCUGUAAAUAUAGUUGAUGAAGCCGUAGUCAUAGCUUCUGCCGUUGUACUCUCUGAAGUUGUAGGCACCACUGUCGAAAUGAUAGGUGUGGUUUCUGUUCUCACAACCGUGGUUGUGGGAAUAUAGGUUUUUGAGGAUACUGUAGUUACUGAUGUUACAGUUGCAGUAGAUUCUGAAGAUGUAGGCUUAGCUGUUGAAGUAAGAGUUAUGGAUUCAGUACUCACAACUGUGGUUGUGGGAAUUUCAGUAGUUGAGGAUGCUGUAGUUACUGAUUUUGUUAGAGGUGUAGUUGUUUCUGAAGAUGUAGCUAUAACUGUUGAAGUAGGAGUUGUAGAUUCAGAAGUUACAAAUGUUGAUGUUGUUGGAUUGUUCGUUUUUGUAGGUGUGGUUGAUGAAGCUGUAGUCAUGGUUUCAGCUGUUGUACUCUUCAAAGUUGUGGGCAACACUGUUGAAGUAAUAGGUGUGGUUUCUGUACUCACAGCUGUGGUUGUGGAAAUUUUGAUAGUUGAGGAUGCUUUAGUUACUGAAGUUGUUACAGGUGCAGUUGUUUCUGAAGAUGUAGGCAAUGUUGUUGAAGUGAGAGUUGAGGAUUCUGAAGGUAUAACUGUUGAUGUUGUUGGAUUGUUUGUUGUUGCAGGUGUGGAUGAUGAAGCUGUAGUCGUGGUUUCUGCUGUUGUACUCUCUGAAGUUGUAGGCACCACUGUUGAAGUAAUAGGUGUGGUUUCUUUACUCACAACUGUGCUUGUGGGAAUUUCAGAAGUUGAGGAUGCUGUAGUUACUGAUGUUUUUACAGGUGCAGUUGUUUCUGAAGAUGUAGGCACUGUUUUUGAAGUGAGAGUUGUGGAUUCUGAAGUUACAAAUGUUGAUGUUGUUGGAUUGUUUGUUGUAAGUGUGGUUGAUGAAGCUGUAGAUGUGGUUUCUGCUGUUGUACUCUCUGAAGUUGUGGGCACCACUGUUGAAGUAAUAGGUGUGGUUUCUGUACUCAUAACUGUGGUUGUGAGAAUUUCAGUAGUUGAGGAUGCUUUAGUUACUGAAGUUGUUACAGGUGCAGUUGUUUCUGAAGAUGUAGGCAAUGUUGUUGAAGUGAGAGUUGAGGAUUCUGAAGGUAUAACUGUUGAUGUUGUUGGAUUGUUUGUUGUUGCAGGUGUGGAUGAUGAAGCUGUAGUCGUGGUUUCUAGUGUUGUACUUUCUGAAGUUGAAUGCACCACUGUUGAAGUAAUAGGUGUGGUUUCUGUACUCACAACUGUGGUUGUAGGAAUUUCAGUAGUUGAGGAUGCUGUAGUUACUGAAGUUGUUACAGGUGCAGUUGUUUCUGAAGAUGCAGGCACUGUUGUUGAAGUGAGAGCUGUGGAUGCUGAAGUUACAGCUUUUGAUGUUGGAUUGUUUGUUGUUGUAGAAAUUGUUGAUGAAGCUGUAGUCGUGGUUUCUGCUGUUGUACUCUCUGAAGUUGUAGGCACCACUGUUGAAGUAAUAGGUGUGGUUUCUUUACUCACAACUGUGCUUGUGGGAAUUUCAGAAGUUGAGGAUGCUGUAGUUACUGAUGUUUUUACAGGUGCAGUUGUUUCUGAAGAUGUAGGCAAUGUUGUUGAAGUGAGAGUUGAGGAUUCUGAAGGUACAACUGUUGAUGUUGUUGGAUUGUUUGUUGUUGCAGGUGUGGAUGAUGAAGCUGUAGUCGUGGUUUCUAGUGUUGUACUUUCUGAAGUUGAAUGCACCACUGUUGAAGUAAUAGGUGUGGUUUCUGUACUCAUAACUGUGGUUGUGAGAAUUUCAGUAGUUGAGGAUGCUUUAGUUACUGAAGUUGUUACAGGUGCAGUUGUUUCUGAAGAUGUAGGGACUGUUGUUGAAGUGAGAGCUGUGGAUGCUGAAGUUACAGCUUUUGAUGUUGGAUUGUUUGUUGUUGUAGAAAUUGUUGAUGAAGCUGUAGUCGUGGUUUCUGCUGUUGUACUCUCUGAAGUUGUAGGCACCACUGUUGAAGUAAUAGGUGUGGUUUCUUUACUCACAACUGUGCUUGUGGGAAUUUCAGAAGUUGAGGAUGCUGUAGUUACUGAUGUUUUUACAGGUGCAGUUGUUUCUGAAGAUGUAGGCACUGUUUUUGAAGUGAGAGUUGUGGAUUCUGAAGUUACAAAUGUUGAUGUUGUUGGAUUGUUUGUUGUAAGUGUGGUUGAUGAAGCUGUAGAUGUGGUUUCUGCUGUUGUACUCUCUGAAGUUGUGGGCACCACUGUUGAAGUAAUAGGUGUGGUUUCUGUACUCAUAACUGUGGUUGUGAGAAUUUCAGUAGUUGAGGAUGCUUUAGUUACUGAAGUUGUUACAGGUGCAGUUGUUUCUGAAGAUGUAGGGACUGUUGUUGAAGUGAAAGUUGUGGAUUCUGAAGGUACAACUGUUGAUGUUGUUGGAAUGUUUGUUGUUGUAGGUGUGGUUGAUGAAGCUGUAGUCGUGGUUUCUGGUGUUGUACUUUCUGAAGUUGAAUGCACCACUGUUGAAGUAAUAGGUGUGGUUUCUGUACUCAUAACUGUGGUUGUGGGAAUUUCAGCAGUUGAGGAUGCUGUAGUUACUAAAAUUGUUACAGGUGCAGUUGUUUCUAAGGAUGUAGGCACUAUUGUUGAAGUGAGAGUUGAGGAUUCUGAAGUUACAGUUUUUGAUGUUGGAUUAUUUGUUGUCGUAGAUAUCGCUGAUGAAGCUGUAGUCAUGGUUUCUGCUGUUGUACUCUCUGAAGUUGUGGGCACCACUGUUGAAGUAAUAGGUGUGGUUUCUGUACUCACAGCUGUGGUUGUGGGAAUUUUAGUAGUUGAGGAUGCUGUAGUUACUGAAGUUGUUACAGGUGUAGUUGUUUCUGAAGAUGUAGGCACUGUUGUUGAAGUAAUAGUUGUGUAUUCAGAAGUUACAGCUGCUGAUAUUGGAUUGAUUGUUGUUGUAAGAGUGGUUGAUGAAGCUGUAGUCGUGGUUUCUGGUGUUGUACUUUCUGAAGUUGUAGGCACUGUUGUUGAAGUGAUAGUUGUGUAUUCAGAAGUAACAGCUGUUGAUGUUGGAUUGUUUGUUGUUGAAAGUGUGGUUGAUGAAGCUGUAUUCGUGGGUUCUGCUGUGGUACUCUCUGAAGUUGUGGGCACCACUGUUGAAGUAAUAGAUGUGGCUUCUGAACUCAGAACUGCGCUUGUGGGAAUUUCAGUAGUUGAGGAUGCUGUAAUUACUGAUGUUGUUACAGUUGCAGUUUUUUCUAUAGAUGUAGGUACUGUUCUUGAAGUUAGAGUUGUAGAUUCUGAAGUUACAAAUGUUGAUGUUGUUGGAUUGCUCGUUGUUGUAGGUGUGGUUGAUGAAGCUGUAGUCGUGGUUUCUGCUGUUGUACUCUCUGAAGUUGUAGGCACCACUGUUGAAGUAACAGAUGUGGUUUCUGAACUCACAGCUGUGCUUGUAGGAAUUUCAGUAGUUGAGGAUGCUGUAGUUACUGACGUUGUUACAGGUGCAGUUGUUUCUAUAGAUGUAGGCAAUGUUGUUGAAGUGAGAGUUGUGGAUUCAGAAGUUGCAGCUAUUGAUCUUGUUGGAUUGUUUGUUGUUGUAGGAGUGGUUGAUGAAGCUGUAGUCGUGGUUUCUACUGUUGUACUCUCUGAAGUUGUAGGCACCACUGUUGAAGUAGUAGAUGUGGAUUCUGAACUCAAAACUGUGGUUGUGGGAAUUUCAAUAGUUGAGGAUGCUGUAGUUACUGAUGUUGUUACAGGUGCAGUUGUUUCUAUAGAUGUAGGCAAUGCUGUUGAACUGAGAGUUGUGGAUUCUGAAGCUACAGCUGUUGUUGUUGUUGGAGUGUUUGUUGUUGAAGGAGUGGUUGAUGAAGCUGUAGUCGUGGUUUCUACUGUUGUACUCUCUGAAGUUGUAGGCACCACUGUUGAAGUAGUAGAUGUGGAUUCUGUACUCACAACUGUGGUUGUGGGAAUGUCAGUAGUUGAGGAUGCUGUAGUUAUAACUGUUGAAGUAAGAGUUGUAGAUUCUGAAGCUACAGCUGUUGUUGUUGUUGGAUUGUUUGUUGUUGAAGGAGUGGUUGAUGAAGCUGUAGUCGUGGUUUCUACUGUUGUACUCUCUGAAGUUGUAGGCACCACUGCUGAAGUAGUAGAUGUGGAUUCUGUACUCACAACUGUGGUUGUGGGAAUUUCAGUAGUUGAGGAUGCUGUAGUUAUAACUGUUGAAGUAAGAGUUGUAGAUUCAGAAGUUACAGAUGUUGAUGUUGUUGGAUUGUUUGUUGUUGUAGGAGUGGUUGAUGAAGCUGUAGUCGUGGUUUCUACUGUUGUACUCUCUGAAGUUGUAGGCACCACUGUUGAAGUAGUAGAUGUGGAUUCUGUACUCACAACUGUGGUUGUGGGAAUUUCAGUAGUUGAGGAUGCUGUAGUUACUGAUUUUGUUAGAGGUGUAGUUGUUUCUGAAGAUGUAGCUAUAACUGUUGAAGUAGGAGUUGUAGAUUCAGAAGUUACAAAUGUUGAUGUUGUUGGAUUGUUCGUUUUUGUAGGUGUGGUUGAUGAAGCUGUAGUCAUGGUUUCUCCUGUUGUACUCUCUGAAGUCGUAGGCACCACUGUUGAAGUAAUGGAUGUGGUUUCUGAACUCACAACUGUGGUUGUGGGAAUUUCAGUACUUGAGGAUGCUGUAGUUACUGAUGUUGUUACAGGUGUAGUUGUUUCUUUAGAUGUAGGCAAUGUCGUUGAAAUGAGAGUUGUGGGUUCUGAAGUUACAGCUUUUGAUGUUGUUGGAGCAUUUGUUGUUGUAGGAGUGGUUGAUGAAGCUGUAGUUGUGGUUUGUACAGUGGUGGUUUCUACAGUUGUACUCUCUGAAGUUGUAGGCAUCACUUUUGAAGUUGUAGAUGUGGAUUGUGUACUCACAACUGUGGUUGUGGGAAUUUCAGUAGUUGAGGAGGCUGUAGGUAUAACUGUUGAAGUAAGAGUUGUAGAUUUAGAAGUUACAGAUGUUGAUGUUGUUGGGUUGUUUGUUGUUGUAGGUGUGGUUGAUGAAGCUGUAGUCGUGGUUUCUAAUGUUGAACUCUCUGAAGUUGUAGGCACCACUGUUGAAGUAAUAGAUGUGGUUUCUGAACUCACAACUGUGGUUGUGGGAAUUUCAGUAGUUGAGGAUGCUGCAGUUACUGAUGUUAGAGUUGUAGUUGUUUCUGAAGAUAUAGCCAUAACUGUUGAAAUAGGAGUUGUAGAUUCAGAAGUUACAGAUGUUGUUGGAUUGUUCGUUGUUGUAGGUGUGGUUGAUGAAGCUGUAGUCGUGGUUUCUGCUGUUGUACUCUCUGAAGUUGUAGGCACCACUGUUGAAGUAAAAGAUGUGGAUUCUGAACUCACAACUUUGGUUGUGGGAAUUUCAGUACUUGAUGAUGCUGUAGUUACUGAUGUUGUUACAGGUGCAGUUGUUUCUAUAGAUGUAGGCACUGUUGUGGGAGUGAGAGUUGUGGAUACUGAAGCUGCAGCUGUUGAUGUUGUUGGAUUGGUUGUUGUUGUAGGAAUGGUUGAUGAAGCUGUAGUCGUGGUUUCUGCUGUUGUACUCUCUGAAGUUGUAGGCAUCAUUGUUGAAGUAAUAGAUGUGGUUUCGAUCGCCACAACUG